rnacentral:rRNA from 1 species
UACGGAGGGUGCAAGCGUUAAUCGGAAUUACUGGGCGUAAGCGCACGCAGGUGGCUAAGAAAGUCGAUUGUGAAGCCCUGGGCUUAACCUGGGAAUUGCAGUCGAAACUACUUGGCUAGAGUAUGGGAGAGGGUAGUGGAAUUCCCGGUGUGGCGGUGAAAUGCGUAGAGAUGUGGAGGAACACCGAUGGCGAAGGCAGCCCCCUGGUCAAGAUUGGACGCUCAUGCACGAAAGCGUGGGAGCAACAGG